rnacentral:rRNA from 1 species
AACGUAGGACGCAAGCGUUAUCCGGAGUUACUGGGCGUAAAGGGCAGGCAGGCGGGUCGAUAAGUCGGAUGUGAAAUCUCCCUGGCUUAACCGGGAGAGUGCAUUUGAGACUGUCAACCUGGAGGGCAGCAGAGGAGCGUGGAAUUCCGGGUGGAGUGGUGGAAAUGCGUAGAGAUCCGGAAGGAACACCAGUGGCGAAGGCGGACUUCCUGGCCCUGUUCUUGACGCUGAGGCGCGGAAAGCUAGGGGAGCAAACGGGG